GUUUUUUGUUACGUAUGUAUCAGUCAUGAGUCAGGAGGGAUAUGGUGAACUGAUGGCCUGGCCUCAGGCAAAUCCGUCGAUGAAACAUUCAAAUUCAGGAUAUGAAGGAACUACACGACAAGAAUGCGAUGAGGAGGCAGAGGGGCUGCAAAGCAAAGAAAGUUGGGCUUAUGUAAACGUGAACAUGGAUGGGGUAGUUGUCGGCAGGAAAAUUUGCAUGCUAGAUCAUGGUGGUUACUCCUGCCUCGCAGUUCAACUAGAAGACAUGUUUGGGCAAAAUACUUAGCCUUGGGAGCGUGACAUUUUUCUGACUAUAAAAUUAAAUAAAAUGAUUCAAGAUUCAUUAAUUGUUUUAGGAAGACAUUCUGCAACUGGGUUAAGGCUGUUCCAGCCAGGGUCUGAAUUCUGCUUGUUUUAUAAG
rnacentral:misc_RNA from 1 species